CAGUCGCCACGGUAAUACGAAGGGGGCUAGCGUUGCUCGGAAUGACUGGGCGUAAAGGGCGCGUAGGCGGCGGCCAAAGUCAGGCGUGAAAUUCCCGGGCUCAACCUGGGGGCUGCGUUUGAUACUUGGUUGCUUGAGUGGGGAAGAGGGUCGUGGAAUUCCCAGUGUAGAGGUGAAAUUCGUAGAUAUUGGGAAGAACACCGGUGGCGAAGGCGGCGACCUGGUCCUUUACUGACGCUGAGGCGCGAAAGCGUGGGGAGCAAACAGGAUUAGAUACCCCAGUAGUCCCUGUCUCUUAUAC
rnacentral:rRNA from 1 species